rnacentral:rRNA from 1 species
CCUACGGGAGGCAGCAGUGAGGAAUAUUGGUCAAUGGACGCAAGUCUGAACCAGCCAUGCCGCGUGCAGGAAGACGGCUCUAUGAGUUGUAAACUGCUUUUGUACGAGGAUAAACGCAGAUACGCGUAUCUGUCUGAAAGUAUCGUACGAAUAAGGAUCGGCUAACUCCGUGCCAGCAGCCGCGGUAAUACGGAGGAUUCAAGCGUUAUCCGGAUUUAUUGGGUUUAAAGGGUGCGUAGGCGGUCGGAUAAGUUAGAGGUGAAAUCCCGAGGCUCAACUUCGGAAUUGCCUCUGAUACUGUUCGGCUAGAGAGUAGUUGCGGUAGGCGGAAUGUAUGGUGUAGCAGUGAAAUGCUUAGAGAUCAUACAGAACACCGAUUGCGAAGGCAGCUUACCAAGCUACUUCUGACGUUGAGGCACGAAAGCGUGGGGAGCAAACAGGAUUAGAUACCCUGGUAGUC